AGCGAACGCUGGCGGCAGGCCUAACACAUGCAAGUCGAACGAAGCCUUCGGGCUUAGUGGCGGACGGGUGAGUAACACGUGGGAACGUACCUUUUGGUUCGGAACAACUCAGGGAAACUUGAGCUAAUACCGGAUGAGCCCUUUGGGGGAAAGAUUUAUCGCCAUUAGAGCGGCCCGCGUUAGAUUAGCUAGUUGGUGAGGUAAAGGCUCACCAAGGCUACGAUCUAUAGCUGGUCUGAGAGGAUGAUCAGCCACACUGGGACUGAGACACGGCCCAGACUCCUACGGGAGGCAGCAGUGGGGAAUCUUGCGCAAUGGGCGAAAGCCUGACGCAGCCAUGCCGCGUGAAUGAUGAAGGUCUUAGGAUUGUAAAAUUCUUUUACCAGGGACGAUAAUGACGGUACCUGGAGAAAAAGCCCCGGCUAACUUCGUGCCAGCAGCCGCAGUAAAAC
rnacentral:rRNA from 1 species